UACGUAGGGGGCAAGCGUUGUCCGGAAUCAUUGGGCGUAAAGCGCGUGUAGGCGGCUUGGUAAGUCUGCUCUGAAAGCCCGGGGCUCAACCCCGGGAGGCGGGUGGAUACUGUCAAGCUCGAGUCCGGAAGAGGAGUGUGGAAUUCCUGGUGUAGCGGUGAAAUGCGCAGAUAUCGUAAGGAAGACCAGUGGCGAAGGCGGGUCUCUGGACAGUUCCUGACGCUGAGGCACGAAGGCCAGGGGAGCAAACGGG
rnacentral:rRNA from 1 species